GACGAACGCUGGCGGCGUGCCUAACACAUGCAAGUCGAACGGAACUGUUUUGACAGAUUUCUUCGGAAUGAAUUUGAUUUAGUUUAGUGGCGGACGGGUGAGUAACGCGUGAGUAACCUGCCUUCAAGAGGGGAAAUACAUUCUGAAAAGAAUGCUAAUACCGCAUGACAUAUCGGAACCACAUGGUUUUGAUAUCAAAGAUUUUAUCGCUUGAAGAUGGACUCGCGUCCGAUUAGUUAGUUGGUGAGGUAACGGCUCACCAAGACCGCGAUCGGUAGCCGGACUGAGAGGUUGAACGGCCACAUUGGGACUGAGGCACGGCCCAGACUCCUACGGGAGGCAGCAGUGGGGGAUAUUGCGCAAUGGGGGCAACCCUGACGCAGCAACGCCGCGUGAAGGAUGAAGGUUUUCGGAUUUUAAACUUCUUUUAUUAAGGACGAAAAAUGACGGUACUUAAUGAAUAAGCUCCGGCUAACUACGUG
rnacentral:rRNA from 1 species